AUCAUUACCGAGUUAGGGUCUCACCGGCCCGAUCUCCCAACCCUUUGUCUACUUGACCAUCGUUGCUUCGGCGAGCCCGUCCUCACGGACCGCCGGGGGGUCUUUGUACCCCUUGGCCCGCGCUCGUCGAUAGCCCCCAAAUUUAAAAAAUCUUAACUAAACGUGUCUUGAAUCUAAGUAUUAUUGUUAAAUAAAAACAAAACUUUCAACAACGGAUCUCUUGGUUCUGGCAUCGAUGAAGAACGCAGCGAAAUGCGAUAAGUAAUGCGAAUUGCAGAAUUCCAGUGAGUCAUCGAAUCUUUGAACGCACAUUGCGCCCUUUGGUAUUCCGAAGGGCAUGCCUGUUCGAGCGUCAUUAUCACCCCUCAAGCCCUCGGCUUGGUGUUGGACGGUUUGGUGGAGACCCCCCUCGGGUGGGCUUCUACCCCUCCCAAAGACAAUGACGGCGGCCUCGUUGGACCCCCGGUACACUGAGUUCUUCACGGGACACGUAUCGGACACAUGGGUUUACGGGACACGGUCUGCCUCCCCUCAGGGAGAAUCUUUUUUUAUCAAGGUGACC
rnacentral:rRNA from 1 species